UAGAUUGAAGCCCGCUGGUUUGGGUUUUUAGUUGUUAACUAAAGAUUUAUGAGAUCAAGGCCCGUCGAUCUAG
rnacentral:tRNA from 1 species